rnacentral:rRNA from 1 species
AGUGAACGCUGGCGGUAGGCCUAACACAUGCAGGUCGAACGGCAGCACAGGAGAGCUUGCUCUCUGGGUGGCGAGUGGCGGACGGGUGAGGAAUACAUCGGAAUCUACUUUUUCGUGGGGGAUAACGUAGGGAAACUUACGCUAAUACCGCAUACGACCUACGGGUGAAAGCAGGGGACCUUCGGGCCUUGCGCGAUUGAAUGAGCCGAUGUCGGAUUAGCUAGUUGGCGGGGUAAAGGCCCACCAAGGCGACGAUCCGUAGCUGGUCUGAGAGGAUGAUCAGCCACACUGGAACUGAGACACGGUCCAGACUCCUACGGGAGGCAGCAGUGGGGAAUAUUGGACAAUGGGCGCAAGCCUGAUCCAGCCAUACCGCGUGGGUGAAGAAGGCCUUCGGGUUGUAAAGCCCUUUUGUUGGGAAAGAAAUCCAGCUGGCUAAUACCCGGUUGGGAUGACGGUACCCAAAGAAUAAGCACCGGCUAACCUCGUGCCAGCCGCCGCAGUAA